rnacentral:sRNA from 1 species
ACUUUUUGCUGGCCUCAGCUGCAUCUUACUCAUCUGCAAAGCCCAGGGCUUAAUAGUUAUUUGUUGGAAGAAUCAAGGGUAGAGAGAUCCGACGACAUGAAGUGGGGCUGUGAAAGUAAAGCAAGAGAAAAUUGGCCCUGAAGCACAGUACCCAGCUGCUUUGGAAGAAUGGGGGGUUCUCUGUUUGAGCACAGGGGAUUUACUGCUGCGGCUUGCUCAGCGCGCGGAAGAGUGACUGCACCGGCCUCCCACUGUCCAUGCUGACCAACCCAGCCACACCCCCGGCCCGGGGCCAGUACCAAAUCAAGAUGAAGGGGAACAUGUCCUUGAUCUGCUGGUACAACAAAGGACACUUCCGCUUCCUGACCAACGCCUACUCCCCGGUGCAGCAGGGAGUCAUCAUCAAAAGGAAGAGUGGGGAGAUCCCAUGCCCCUUGGCCGUGGAGGCGUUUGCCGCUCACCUGAGCUACAUCUGCAGAUACGAUGACAAAUACAGCAAGUAUUUCAUUUCUCAUAAACCAAACAAGACCUGGCAGCAGGUGUUCUGGUUCGCCAUCAGCAUCGCCAUCAACAAUGCC